rnacentral:rRNA from 1 species
UACGACGGGGGCUAGCGUUGUUCGGAUUUACUGGGCGUAAAGGGCCCGUAGGCGGAUCGUUCAGUCGGGGGUGAAAUCCUGGAGCUCAACUCCAGAACUGCCUUCGAUACUGGCGAUCUCGAGUCCGGAAGAGGUGAGUGGAACUCCUAGUGUAGAGGUGGAAUUCGUAGAUAUUAGGAAGAACACCAGUGGCGAAGGCGGCUCACUGGUCCAUUACUGACGCUGAGGUGCGAAAGCGUGGGGAGCAAACAGG